AUCCCUUGGUGAGGGCAUUUACGUAAUAACUCUUUGAAUCUUUCCCAUGCCUCGUAUAGGGAUUCCUCAUCCAAUUGUUGAAUAGUGGUGAUCUCAUUCCACAACCU
rnacentral:snoRNA from 1 species